rnacentral:sRNA from 12 species
CCUAGUCUUUAACUAGGCCACAAGCUAAUUAAUAGUAUUUGUUUUAAAACAAAUCAUAAAAUUCAACCACAACAAUUAGUAGGCUAGUUCUGAAUCUUGAAGUGGUGGUGAUUUACUUUUAAUUAAUUAGCUAUAACCA